UACGAAGGGGGCUGGCGUUGCUCGGAAUCACUGGGCGUAAAGCGCACGUAGGCGGCCUCUUAAGUCGGUGGUGAAAUCCUGGAGCUCAACUCCAGAACUGCCUUUGAUACUGGCGACCUUGAGUCCGGGAGAGGUGAGUGGAACUGCGAGUGUAGAGGCGAAAUUCGUAGAUAUUCGCAAGAACACCAGUGGCGAAGGCGGCUCACUGGCCCGGUACUGACGCUGAGGUGCGAAAGCGUGGGGAGCAAACAGG
rnacentral:rRNA from 1 species